UGAGUAACGCGUAUCCAACCUUCCCUAUAGUAGAGGAGUAGCCCGGCGAAAGUCGGAGUUAAUACUCUAUGUUGUUCAAUGCGGACAUCUAAGUUGAACCAAAGGUUUACCGCUAUAGGAUGGGGGAUGCGUCUGAUUAGAUGGUAGGCGGGGUAACGGCCCACCUAGUCGACGAUCAGUAGGGGUUCUGAGAGGAAGGUCCCCCACAUUGGAACUGAGACACGGUCCAAACUCCUACGGGAGGCAGCAGUGAGGAAUAUUGGUCAAUGGGCGAGAGCCUGAACCAGCCAAGUAGCGUGCAGGAUGACGGCCCUAUGGGUUGUAAACUGCUUUUAUAUAGGGAUAAAGUGCACUACGUGUAGUGUUUUGUAGGUACUAUAUGAAUAAGGACCGGCUAAUUCCGUGCCAGCCGCCGC
rnacentral:rRNA from 1 species